AUGCUUAACACAUGCAAGUCGAACGGUAACAGAUAAGAUGAUCUCUUCGGAGUAAAUCUUUGCUGACGAGUGGCGGACGGGUGAGUAAUGCUUGGGAAUCUGCCCAAUAGUGGGGGAAAACUCGGGGAAACCCGGGCUAAUACCGCAUAAUCUCUACGGAGGAAAGAGGGCCUCUACAUGUAAGCUCUCGCUAAUGGAUGAGCCCAAGUCAGAUUAGCUUGUUGGUAAGGUAAUGGCUUACCAAGGCUACGAUCUGUAGCUGGUCUGAGAGGACGACCAGCCACACUGGGACUGAGACACAGCCCAGACUCCUACGGGAGGCAGCAGUGGGGAAUAUUGCACAAUGGGCGCAAGCCUGAUGCAGCAAUGCCGCGUGUGUGAAGAAGGCUCUAGGGUUGUAAAGCACUUUCAAUAGAGAAGAAAAGCUUGAAAUUAAUACUUUCAAGCCUUGACGUAACCUAUACAAGAAGCACCGGCUAAUUCCGUGCCAGCAGCCGCGGUAAUACGUAGGGAGCGAGCGUUACCCGGAAUUACUGGGCGUAAAGAGCACGUAGGCGGUUGGAUAAGUCUUCUGUGAAAGCUCCUGGCUCAACUGGGAGAGGUCAGGGGAUACUAUUCGACUUGAGGGCUGUAGAGGUAAGCGGAAUUCCCGGUGUAGCGGUGAAAUGCGUAGAUAUCUGA
rnacentral:rRNA from 1 species